rnacentral:ribozyme from 13 species
AAAAAAAAAAAAAAAAAAAAUUAAAAUUUUAUGAAAACUAUACGCCUUCUAACUUCUUCUAAUUUUUCUUCUAGUUGUCUAAAAAGCUCUCAAAAACUAAUUUCUGAUUUUUCCAAAUCGCCAUUUUAUUACGACCGAACGACUCCCCCCCCUCCUACAAACAAUACAAAACAAUAUCAGUCACCCUGUACUCACAAACAGAAGAGAAAAAAAUAAUAACCAAGGGUUGAGUUUUAAUAUUUUAGUUUUU